UCUGCUCAUGAAUGCUUCAGGCCUGGUAUUGAGGAGCACUGGCUUGUGAUUAUUAGUAAUGCAAGAAUGUCCUGUUCUUCUAAGACUAGCCACAGAUGCUGGAGAAUGCAUCCCUCCAACCGUCAACCUUGGCACCGAUCCCGGUUUGCAGAAAAUCCGCGUCCGGACUUCUCUGCCUCUACUUCAAUAAUUUUGAAGCUUGGCAUCAGGUCCCGAACACAUUCCAAGAAAAAGGAGGAUACCUCUUGGAUUUGAGAGGGACUUGGUGCUGUUUUUGUGUGCACUUGAGAUGGUCCGUGUCUAUGCUUUAUUUUUAUUUUAUUUUUCACGGGAUAAGGCAUGAUGAGAUGUUUGUGAACUGAAAAUAUCCUUGGAAGCUGCAAAACUUAAAGUCAUCAGCAACACCAUUCCAAACCAUUCAAAGUCCAACUUCAUAUUUUGUUUGAUUCUGUCGGACUGUGGACUGCUUUACAUGGGAUCAGGAAUGCCAUCUUUAGGGUUCAACGGCUUGGGUACGGAGUUAGGGAUGAGUCCUCCGUGAAAUGACAAUUUUCUUUUGGAUCUUUGGAAGCUGCAUAUUGUGAAAGUCAUCACCAACCCAUAAAAUCAAUUCCCAAUCCUUCAAAAUCCAGCUGCAUAUUUUGUUUGAUUUCUGUCGGACUGCUGACUGCUUUACAUGAGAUCAGGAACAACACCAUCAUUUAGUUUGACAGUUUGGGUGUUGGAUUUUGUUUGUUUUGCUAGAAAAUCACUAAAGGAAGUAAUGCGGAAGAAAUUAUGAUGAAGAAGAGCUGCUUAGUUUGUACAUAGAAGAGUGAAUAUAAACAGCAACAAUUUUAAGGAGACGUUUUAAGACUGUCAUGGCUGUGAUAUUAUGUGUGUGAUAUGGAGGAAAUCCAUACAAAGAAAGAGAACUUUUAGGUGAAAUUGAACCUGUGGCCGCCUCCUCAGUAUUAUGGUCAAUGAUGAAACACAGUGGCUUAUCCAACCGUGGAGAAAGGAAACAGAUUGCGCUGAUGAUGGCAGGGUAUUAAGAUGACCCACCAAAGGUCAAUGAAGAUUUGUUCGAAGGAUGGAACUCUUUGGAAACAACCCUACUUAUUGAAGUUGAGGGAAAAUCUUGAUACUUGAAGGGUGACAGAUGGGAGAUACAAUCCUCCCUGCUGAACCAAUGGG